GCGUUUUACGGCUCAGUAACGCGUGGUUACCCUACCCUUAGGACGGGGACAACCCCGGGAAACUGGGGCUAAUUUCUGAUAGGUGAGGAGGCCUGGAGUGGUUCUUCGCCGAAAAGGCGUUGGGACCACGCUUUUCAACGUCGCCUAAGGAUGGGGCCGCGCCCGAUCAGGUUGUUGGUGAGGUAACGGCUCACCAAGCCUAUAACCGGUACGGGCCGUGAGAGCGGGAGCCCGGAGAUGGGCACUGAGACAAGGGCCCAGGCCCUACGGGGCGCAGCAGUCGCGAAAACUCCGCAAUGCGCGAAAGCGUGACGGGGCUACCCCGAGUGCCGUCCGCUGAGGAUGGCUUUUCCCCAGGUGUAAUGAGCCGGGGGAAUAAGGAGAGGGCAAGACUGGUGCCAGCCGCCGCGGUAAAACCAGCUCUUCGAGUGGUAGGGAUGAUUAUUUGGCCUAAAGCGUCCGUAGCCGGCUUAUAAGUCCACGGUUAAAGUCAGGUCUUAAAUCUGUACAUUGCCGUGGAUACUGUAUGUCUAGGAACCGGGAGAGGUGAAAGGUACUCCAGGGGUAGAGGUGAAAUUCGUUCAUCCUUGGGGGACCACAAAUGGCGAAGGCAUUUCACUGGAACGGGUUCGACGGUGAGGGACGAAAGCCAGGGGAGCGAGCCGGAUUAGAUACCCGGGUAGUCCUGGCUGUAAACGAUGCCCGCUAAGUGUCAGGGUACAUGUGAGACACUUCAGUGCCGCAGGGAAGCCAUUAAGCCCGCCGCCUGGGGAGUACGGCCGCAAGGCUGAAACUUAAAGGAAUUGGCGGGGGAGCA
rnacentral:rRNA from 1 species